GACGUAGGGCGCGAGCGUUGUCCGGAUUUAUUGGGCGUAAAGAGCUUGUAGGCGGUUUGUCGCGUCUGCUGUGAAAUCUCAAGGCUCAACCUUGAGCUUGCAGUGGGUACGGGCAGACUAGAGUGUGGUAGGGGAGACUGGAAUUCCUGGUGUAGCGGUGGAAUGCGCAGAUAUCAGGAGGAACACCGAUGGCGAAGGCAGAUCUCUGGGCCGUAACUGACGCUGGAGGAGCGAAAGCAUGGGGAGCGAACAGG
rnacentral:rRNA from 1 species